UACGUAGGGUGCGAGCGUUAAUCGGAAUUACUGGGCGUAAAGCGUGCGCAGGCGGUUCGUUGUGUCGGCGGUGAAAGCCCCGGGCUUAACCUGGGAAUGGCCGUCGAAACUGGCGAACUGGAGUGUGGCAGAGGGGGGUGGAAUUCCGCGUGUAGCAGUGAAAUGCGUAGAGAUGCGGAGGAACACCGAUGGCGAAGGCAAUCCCCUGGACCUGUACUGACGCUCAUGCACGAAAGCGUGGGGAGCAAACAGG
rnacentral:rRNA from 1 species